rnacentral:rRNA from 1 species
AUUGAACGCUGGCGGCACGCUUAACACAUGCAAGUCGAGCGGUAACAUGCUUAGUAGCAAUACUAAGUGAUGACGAGCGGCGGACGGGUGAGGAACACGUAGGAAUCUGCCUCUAAGCGGGGGACAACCAAGGGAAACUUUGGCUAAUACCGCAUAACAUCGAGAGAUCAAAGCUGCCGCAAGGUAGCACUUAGAGAGGAGCCUGCGUCCGAUUAGCUAGUUGGUAGGGUAAAAGCCUACCAAGGCGAUGAUCGGUAACUGGUCUGAGAG